CCUACGGGGGACAGCAGUGAGGAAUAUUGGUCAAUGGACGAGAGUCUGAACCAGCCAAGUAGCGUGAAGGAUGACUGCCCUAUGGGUUGUAAACUUCUUUUAUAUGGGAAUAAAAUGUUCCACGUGUGGGCUUUUGUAUGUACCAUAUGAAUAAGGAUCGGCUAACUCCGUGCCAGCAGCCGCGGUAAUACGGGGGAUCCGAGCGUUAUCCGGAUUUAGGGGGUUUAAAGGGAGCGUAGGUGGAUUGUUGAGUCAGUUGUGAAAGUUUGCCUCAACCGUGAAAUUGCAGUUGAAACUGGCAGGCUGGAGUGCAGUAGAGGGGGGCGGAAUUCGUGGUGUAGCGGUGAAAUGCGUAGAUAUCACGAAGAACACCGGUUGCGAAGGCGGUUCACUGGACUGCAACUGACGCUGAGGCUCGAAAGUGUGGGUAUCAAACAGGAUUAGAUACCCUUGUAGUC
rnacentral:rRNA from 1 species